UACGUAGGGGGCUAGCGUUGCUCGGAAUUACUGGGCGUAAAGCGCACGUAGGCGGCUCUUUAAGUCGGAGGUGAAAUCCUGGAGCUCAACUCCAGAACUGCCUUCGAUACUGAAGAGCUCGAGUCCGGGAGAGGUGAGUGGAACUGCGAGUGUAGAGGUGAAAUUCGUAGAUAUUCGCAAGAACACCAGUGGCGAAGGCGGCUCACUGGCCCGAUACUGACGCUGAGGUGCGAAAGCGUGGGGAGCAAACAGG
rnacentral:rRNA from 1 species